CGAUCAAUCCUACAGGCUUACUGAGCGGGCUUUUUAGGCCCUAAAUCCGAGCGGACCGGGCCGGUCCAUCAGACCGGGUCCAUUUUGACUGCAAACCACGUCGUCCUAUGCCCCCUCGUUGCUCCGCUGCGUCUCGCCAUCGAUUGCUGCCUCGCCUCGCCGCCGAUCGAAGGCUACCUAGGCUGCUGCAGUCGCCUUUGCCAAGCCCUCUGCCGUCGUCUGAUUCCGCCGCUGGCGCGCCUGACCCCUGAUUCCCGUGCGUCAUCGCCGAUUGGUGCGCCUUUGCCGCCUAUUCCCGUCGAUUGGAGGUUAAUUUCAGCGAUUUCUCCCCAUCCUCCUCAACCGCCGUCAAAGGCUACCUAGGCUGCUGCAGCCACCGCUGCCAAGCCCUCUGCCGCCGCAGUCGGAUUCCGCCGCUGCCAAGUGUUGGUGUUUUGUUAAAUUGUGGAAGGAAUUUCAGAAAGUAUUUAUUCAUCCACUUGGAAGAGAAUCGACAAGAAAGAGAUAAGCUUCAACGGUGAGUUUGCCAUACCUUGCUUUUAUUUUUUCAUCAUGGUUCAAAUGGCGACCAUGGUUAUUUCAUAGAACACUGUAGAUAAGCAUGUAUCUAGGUAGUUGAUAUGGAGAAUAGGUUGGGGAAUGGCUCGUUCCAUUCCAUUUGUUGCUGUGGUGAUGGCUUGGAGCUGAUUAUGUGCAAUAUGUGUUUAUGUGUUUGUGUAAGAAAUAGGCACAAGUAAUCAUAAAUAUUUGUGAAAUUUAUAGGUUAAGCAAAAUGACAUAUAUAAUGUGAUACGCAUCCCAAGUCUCAACUCUCAAAUCACCACCAACAGCGGCGGCAGUUUCUUUGCUUAAUUUGAUUCAGCGUCUUAUUCUUCUCCCGAAUUUCAAAACCCACGGUAAUCCCUCAGUUUCUUUGCUUAAUUUGAUUUUCACUUGUCACAUUUGUAAUCACUCUUCGCUAAUUUCCUGCACCUUGUGUGCUCCCACUUCAAAUAACUUUGAUGUAUUUUUGAAUCGCUGCAUGUUUUGAUAAUUAACAACCAAAAAGCAAUCUUUACCUGAUUCGUAAGAUUACGAGCAAAGUGCCUGUGAAGUUAGUGAAGAAUGCUAUUGUGUUUAGUUAACUUCAUUAUGUUCAAACAGCUGGAAUUUAUGGUUCUUCAACCAUCUUACAUUUCUUACUCAAAGUUGUUGCCAUUGCUGAGGCAAACUAAGUCUGUAAACGAAGGCCUCCAAAUCCAUGCCCAGCUAGUUAAACUUGGAGUAUCCCAGGAUCCCAAUCACCGUAUCCAUUUGAUAAAUUUCUAUUCUAAGUCUGGAGUUUUUCAUCAUGCCCACAAGCUACUUGAAGAAAGUCCUGAACCAGAUUUGGUUUCUUGGUCCUCACUGAUAUCCGGGUAUACCCAGAAUGGCCUUGGGGAGAAGGCCCUUUUGGCCUUUCGCGAGAUGCAGGCCUUGGGCGUUAAGGGGAACGGGUUCACCUUCCCCAGCGUGCUCAAGGCAUGUGCAAACACAAGCAAUUUUGUGCUCGGGAAGCAAGUCCAUGGAAUUGUAGUGGUAGUUGGGUUUGAGUCGGAUGUUUUCGUGGCAAAUACUCUAGUGCUUAUGUAUGCAAAAUGUGGUAGCUUUUUAGACUCCAGGAGGUUGUUUGAGGACAUCCCUGAGCGAAACGUGGUUUCUUGGAAUGCUUUGUUGACAUGUUAUACUCAAAGCGAUCUUUUUGGGAAAGCAAUGGGAUUGUUUCAGGAAAUGAUUGUAGGUGGAAUUAGGCCGGAUGAGUAUAGUUUGUCAACUAUAUUGAAUGCUGCCACAGGUCUAGGAGAUAUUGGUCAAGGCAAGAAGAUUCAUGGCUAUUUGAUAAAGCUUGGGUAUGAGGGUGAUCCAUUCUCAUUGAAUGCACUAGUAGACAUGUAUGCAAAAGGAGGAGAUCUUGGAAGUGCAAUAAAUGUUUUCAUGAAUGUGCCGGAACCUGAUAUUGUUUCUUGGAAUGCUCUUAUUGCUGGUUGUGUAUCUCACAAACGUCACAUUUGGGCCUUGGAACUGUUAGAUCGGAUGAAGAGUUCCAGGGUGAACCCUAAUUUGUUCACCAUGUCGAGUGUUCUUAAAGCUUGUGCAGCAUUAGGUGUCAAAGAUAUAGGUAAACAGCUUCAUGCCAAAUUGUUAAAGAUGGAGACGAUGAAAGAUCCCUUUGUGAAUGUUGGCCUCAUUGACAUGUACAGCAAGUGUCGUUUGAUGAAGAGUGCUGUAAGUGUGUAUCAUUUGAUGCCAGAAAAGGAAUUGGUCGCAACAAAUGCAUUGAUGUCGGGACUCUCACAAAAUGGGGAGUUGAUGGAAGCUCUCACCCUGUUUCAGGAGAUGCAUAUGCAAUGUAUGGAAUUUAACCAUGCUACUUUACUAACAGUGCUUAACGCUAUUGCUGACUCGGAGGCUACUAGCAUCUGCAAGGAAGUUCACGCGCUUAUUAUGAAGUCUGGUUACCAAGCUGAUACUUUCAUUACAAACAGCCUUAUUGACUCGUAUGGAAAGUGUAGCCAGGUUCACGAUGCUGCUAGAGUUUUUGAAGAAUGCCCAAAUGUGGAUCUACCAACUUAUACAUCAUUAAUGACGACAUAUGCUCAACGCAGACAAGGCGAAGAAGCUUUGAAGCUCUACUUGAAGCUACUAGAAAUGAAUAUCAAGCCGGAUUCAUUUGUUUGCAGUUCUCUUCUUAAUGCUUGUGCGAAUUUGUCAGCGUAUGAGCAGGGGAAGCAAAUUCAUGUUCAUGUCUUGAAAAUGGGGUUCAUGUCAGAUGUCUUUGCUGGGAAUUCACUUGCCAACAUGUACGCCAAAUGUGGAAGUAUCGAGGAUGCUGGUCUUGCUUUCUCUGAGGUUCCAGAGAGAAGUGUGGUCUCCUGGUCUGCGAUGAUCGGUGGGCUAGCACAACACGGCCGGGGUGAAGAGGCUCUCAGUUUGUUCAACGACAUGUUGAAAAGCGGUGUAGCUCCUAAUCAUGUAACAUUAGUCAGUGUCCUCUCUGCGUGUAAUCAUGCCGGUCUAGUUGAUGAAGCUCAAUGGUAUUUUGAGACUAUGAAUGAGCGAUUUGGGAUAGAACGAACGCAGGAGCACUAUGCUUGCAUGAUUGAUGUCCUUGGCAGAGCUGGUAAGUUGGACGAAGCAAAGGGCCUCGUCAGUAGCAUGCCAUUUGAAACUAAUGGCGCCAUUUGGGGGGCACUUCUGGGAGCCGCCAGAAUUCAUAACGACGUAGAGCUAGGAAGACACGCUGCUGAGAUGCUCUAUACUCUCGAACCAGAAAAAUCGGGUACACAUAUUCUCCUGGCUAAUAUUUAUGCUUCAGCAGGAUUAUGGAAAGACGUUCGUAAGGUGCGAAGAUUAAUGAAAAACCGCAAAGUGAAGAAGGAACCGGGGAUGAGCUGGAUGGAGGUGAAGGAUAAGAUUCACACAUUCAUUGUUGGAGAUAGAAGCCAUCCUAGAAGUGAAGAGAUAUAUUUGAAACUCGAGGAGCUGGGGCCUCUGAUGGCCAAAGCCGGUUAUGUUCCUUUGUUAGACACGGACCUCCAUCGCGUUCAAAGUAAAGAAAAGGAAAUUCUCCUCUCCUACCACAGUGAAAAGCUUGCUGUGGCUUUUGGACUCAUAGCUACCUCAUGUGGAGCUCCUAUUAGGGUGAAGAAGAACCUCCGAAUCUGUUCGGACUGCCAUACGUCGUUCAAGUACAUCUCUAAGAUAGCGUCGAGAGUGAUCAUCGUUAGAGACAUCAACCGUUACCACCACUUCAGGGACGGGUCUUGUUCCUGUGGGGAUUAUUGGUAGUGUUGCUCGAGCUGUGGCUUGUGAUGCGCUCUCCUGCGGCUGAAGAAGCAUGUUAGGGUUCUCAUUUUCUUGGAUGAUUCAGGUGGAAUAAGAGAUGAGGAGUGUUGCGAUAUCUGUGGUGAUAUUGGGGUUGAUGAUGCAUUGAUAACUUGCAGCCUAUGUAAAAGAAAUACUGAGCAUAUGUAUUGCAUGAGAAUUGUUCUUGAGAAGCAUGUCAAUGAUUGGCAUUGUGAAGACUGCUCACGCACAUCUUGUCUCCUUGAUUCGUCAAAAAUUAACUCAUUCGCUUGAUUCUGAGAAAUACUUACUGGUCCCUGCUUUGGAUGCUUUGUGGAAGUUAGUUUCUUAAUCACCAAAUGAUACUACCUCAAAUAUAAACUUAUCUCAAAAACUGUUUUUUUUUUUUUUUUUUUUUUUUUUUUUUUUUUUUUUAUGAAUUGUUGCAAAUUAGUGAAUGAGUGUAUGAACAUCUUUAAAUCGCACACUUACCCUAAUAUGGAAAGGAACUGAUGUUGGGUUUGAACUUGAAGUGGAUAAAAGGAUAUCACUGUUGUUUUGCCUAUUGCAGGCAUUCUUAGCUAUCAAGAUAAAUAUUUUCAUCUGGACCUCAUUUUGGAAAAAGAAUCACACAUUUACAGCUGGAUAAAUACAUCUUUGGAACUACAAUCGUUUCUCUAUCCAGUGACUCUAUCGGUUAUUAGUGAACAAGAAUGAGUAGGAUAUAUCUGGUGUAGUCUUCUUGAAGUUGAAACAGCCUCCGGUCAUUUGAUUUCUGAGAAAUAAAGUUUUUUCAUCAAAUUCUAUAAAAUGAAUUCAUUUUAAGUUAGUUCUAUCCUGUUUAUACGUAUAGUGUUGGCAAAGUUAAACAGUUGUAGAAGUGAUUACAAUAAAUGUUUGAAUCUCCUUAUUCCUCACAUUUAGUUUAUGCUCCCACAUCAAAUGCAUUUGACAACUUUUAGCUUCCUGGAUAUUUCUCGUUUAGUAUAAUCUCUAGUUUACUGCUAGGAUUGUUACCAGUUAUGAAAUGCCUUUACCAUAUUCUGAUUUGCGAUCAUGAACUGCAUUCUUUACACUCUUUAUUCUUUAAAGUUCUGCAUGCACAAGUAUAUAUAUAUAUAUAUAUACACAUACAUACUCCCUCCGUCCCACUGUAUCUGAGACUCUUUCUAUUUUGGGCGUCCCACUGUAAGUGAGACUCUUUCCUUUUUGGGUAAAAGUUUUUCCCUUUAAACACCUUUUCACUUUUUCAUCUACACACAAAAUACAUCUUUCUUAAUUCCCGUGCCCAAAAAAAAGGUCUCACUUACAGUGGGACAGAGGGAGUAUUUAUUUUCUGGUUAUUAGGGGAAGCUUCAGGAUCCUGGGUGAUCAUGCACAGAAAGAAAUAAACCAUCUAGUUCAAGCUUAUCCUCCUUCACCAGUUCGUAAAAAGAUCUAUGAAUUCUCAAAGAAAUUGCCAACACUUCUUCAUUUCAAAUUGGUUCCUACCAAACCAUUUUGGAACAACUUAUUCAAUGAGCAUGUUCCAGAUCGAAGUGACAUUGGUCUAUAUUUCUUUCCCGGAGUUGGAUAGAGCUCGGAGGAGGAUUAUAUCUUCUUGAUAGAUCAAAUAAUUUCGACGAACUAUGCAUCGAGGAAGCAGAUUGCAGAUUCAGAUGUUGAACUGUUGGUUUUCAGCUCCAAACUUCUGCAUGCCAAUUGUCAAUGUUGGGAUGGAAAGUAUUUCCUAUGGGGUGUAUUCCGCUAUCUGAAACGAAAUGCCACAACAUGCUCAGACAAUACAGUUCUGGAUUCGACAGUGCAACCAUCAGAUGGUGUGUGAAUCACGACCAGAGUCAGGUGCACGACAGUAAUGAAGUUGACAUGGUAGGUGGCACCGAUGUGGGAAGAGUAGAUCUUCCAGUUAAAGAAAAACCUACAGCUGCUAUGGCUUUACCGGAGUCGGCCCUGCAGGUGGCCUCUGGCCUAAUAGUUGCACCGGUUGCCUUGAUUCCUUCACUAGAUGUCAUUCCUCCUGGAUUUGAGGAGUUGUAUAGGCGAAGAAUCCAGAGCUUGUCUACUCCGAUGGUCGACAUUGGGAAUCGAGGCAUAGACGAGGGGCGAUGAUCGUUCUUUUUCUUGGAUUAUGGGAUCUGAAAAUGUACAGAAAAUGGGUUGUGAAAUUAGUGAUAGAUUUUAGAUGUGGAAGUGUACAAAGCUUAUCUGCAGCAUUUGCUUGGGUAAUUUUGUUGUAGUGGUGAAUUGUUUAUAUUAUGACCAUGAUGUAGAAAUUAGACAGACUAGUAUUGCUUUGCACCAGCGCGAUGCGCUGUUAAUAUUUUAUAUAUUUACUUUGAAACA